AUUAUUUUGUUUGAUGUUGUUUUUAAUAAUAAUUCUUAAUCAACCCUUUAAAGCAUCGCUCUAGCUAUAGGUAGAAUAAGCUAGCUAAUAGGUAGGAAAAUAAGAUAAAAAAUGGUCGUAUCGUAUGUACAAUAUAUUUUAACAAUCGAGUCGGCUUGUUUUCUUUGAACUAUUCUUUCCAGGGGCGGAAUAAGCACUACGCAAAUUAAGCGUCCGCGUGGGGCCCCGAGGACUCGGGGGGUUCCGUAAAAAAGAACCAAUCCCCCGCUGACAAAAAGGCCUAAAUUCGUGUGACCGCUUAGGGCCUUCACUCGUGUUAAUCCGCCACUGAUUCUACUGGGAAUGCUAAUUAUAAUAUCUUUAAAGAUAAUUCUUAACAUUCUAUCAAAUAAGGUUAUUGUAAAAAAAUCAAAUCAAUUUCAUGUGUAGACUGUUUAAGAGGAAGACAUAUACCAUUUUUCAAAAUCGUAAUAAGUUUAGUUUGGUAAAUGGUAAGUUCUCAUAGUAAACUCAUAGUAAAUAGCAAACAAUACAGACAACUGUUUUUAGAGAAAUUAUGCUCGAAUCGUACAACACGUACGGUUUUAUAACAUGCCCCUCAUCGGUUCAAGCCUAGAAUGGAUCGACUUCCACAUCCCGUAGCAAGGACUAACUGAUUAUCUGGCUGCAUGGUACUAAUAAGUCUCGAAAGCCUGUAUAGGACGGGAUGACUACGUAGGUCGUUACGCCAAAUAGAAGAAAGUUCGGCAUGAUACAGUAUACGAUAAAUAAAAUUUAUUUUCCUCUGUGAA